AUUGAACGCUGGCGGCAGGCCUAACACAUGCAAGUCGAACGAGUGGCGGACGGGUGAGUAAUGUCUGGGAAACUGCCUGAUGGAGGGGGAUAACUACUGGAAACGGUAGCUAAUACCGCAUACCCUCAGAUGUGCCCAGAUGGGAGUAGCUUGUUGGUGGGGUAACGGAGCACCAAGGCGACGAUCCCUCGCUGGUCUGAGAGGAUGAUCAGGCACACUGUAACGGAGACAAGGUCCAGACUCCUCCGGGAGGCAGCAGUGGGGAAUAUGGGACAAUGGGCGAAAGCCUGAUCCAGCCAUGCCACGUGUGGGAAGAAGGUCUACGGAUUUUAAAGCACUUUAAGUUGGGAGGAGUUACCAACAGAAUAAGCACCGGCUAACUUCGUGCCAGCAGCCGCGGUAAUAC
rnacentral:rRNA from 1 species